rnacentral:rRNA from 1 species
CCCCCCUGGACGAAGACUGACGCUCAGGUGCGAAAGCGUGGGGAGCCAACAGGAUUAGAUACCCUGGUAGUCCCACGCCGUAAACGAUGUCGACUCUGGAGGUUUGUUUCCCCUGGAGGAGUGGCUUCCGGAGAUUAACGCGUUAAAGUCGGACCCGCCUGGGGAAGUAACGGCCGCAAAGGUUAAAACUCAAAUGAAUUGACGGGGGCCCGCACAAGCGGUGGAGCAUGUGGUUUAAUUCGAUGCAACGCGAAGAACCUUACCUACUCUUGACAUCCAGAGAACUUAGCAGAGAUGCUUUGGUGCCUUCGGGAACUCUGAGACAGGUGCUGCAUGGCUGUCGUCAGCUCGUGUUGUGAAAUGUUGGGUUAAGUCCCGCAACGAGCGCAACCCUUAUCCUUUGUUGCCAGCGAUUCGGUCGGGAACUCAAAGGAGACUGCCGGUGAUAAACCGGAGGAAGGUGGGGAUGACGUCAAGUCAUCAUGGCCCUUAUGAGUAGGGCUACACACGUGCUACAAUGGCGCAUACAAAGAGAAGCGACCUCGCGAGAGCAAGCGGACCUCACAAAGUGCGUCGUAGUCCGGAUCGGAGUCUGCAACUCGACUCCGUGAAGUCGGAAUCGCUAGUAAUCGUGGAUCAGAAUGCCACGGUGAAUACGUUCCCGGGCCUUGUACACACCGCCC